AGACUAACUGUGUUAUAUGGCUUAUCAAAAGCUUGUAUGUCUCUCUAGAAAGCUUGGCUUGCCUUAGAUCAUCACCUAACAACAACAAGGCUACUACUUGUUCCUUUGAAGGCUGGCAUUGAUUUUUGCUGGCAGCAAAAUAGUAGGCUUUUCGCAUUCCUCAUCUGAGGUGAAGGGCAAAUUUGGGGUUUUGUAAAACACGCUUAUUGUUGACCCCGUAAAAUUGAAUGUUGACUUCCAAAAAGAAGAUUGAAAGAUGUGGAUGUUUAAAAAAUAUUCUGACUCUCCAACACUAAAGGUCUUUUACUCUUCAGCACCCACCUGCUAUGGGAGGAAUUUAAAUGCCAGAGUACUCACACUGCUAUAUGAAGCUGGGCUAUGCAAUAUGAAGCUGCCCAUGCUAUAUGAAUCUGGCCCAUGCAAUAUGAAGCUGGGCACUGCUAUAUGAAGCUAGGCCAUGCUAUAUGAUGCUGGGCCAUGCGAUAUGAAUCUAGGCUAUACAGAUGUUUCCCCUUGUGGAUUGUCCAGCCAUUGUAGCCCUUCGCUGGCAUACUCUGCUAUCCAAUCUCCAUCUCCACUUUCCCUCUUGUGGCAGACAUCUGGACUUUCUCCUGUUGCAGUAACAGACACAUUUGAAUCAGUUUUCACAUACGACAUGUACCAGUCACAAGGCUGAUUCUUUACAAUAGACAGAGAAUGGAAAGAAAAAAAAAAAGAAAACAAAAAGCUUUCUUCUGAGAGGAAGAGGACUGACAGAUGGAAUGACCAGAAAGUAAUUUACUCUUUGGGGCGCGGCUGCUGCCCAUCAUCUUUGUUUUCUCAUUCUGGGUAUCUUUAUUGCUGCCUUCCUGUUGAGAGAAGAGGGAUGAAGAGGGAUCAUCUUUGAUGUGGCUGUAUCGGAGCACAGACCUUCUGGUCUUGAUCUGACAGCUUUGUGAUUACAGUGGGACACUAAGGGAGCUGCCACCAAGUGGGAAUGCUGGAUGUCAGAAGCAGAACCUUAAACAACUUUGGCAUUUGGUGGAGAAACAACACAGAUGGGCAUACCAGAGUAACUUGCUCACAACAGCCCUUCAUUCCCUACAGCCUUUCAUUCCCAGCAAAGAGCGUGGCUGUAAACCAGACCGGGCUGUUCUUGAGUAGGAGGAACCACUGCUUUGUAGUGCACUUACAGUAACUGGCUGUACCUGCUGGCACUUCCUGGAAAAGCAGAAAUAAACUUUCAUAAUAUCCUUUAACAGACACAGAUAUAAGUUGUAGUAAAAAUGUUUUAAAAUUUUUCUUAAAACACUACUAACUUGGGAGGGAUGUUUCAAGUAUUUGAAAUUCUUUUCUACAUGAAGCUGAGACCUAACAAGUACAAGACCCAAUUUCAAGCCAGUGGAAAAAGCAGGAAAAAUUCUGAGGUCUACAACAGAAACAUUUGAUGGAUUCUCUAAAAUGUUCAUUAGAAUUUAAGAAAUUUGUUUUUACAUUAAAUGAUUGGUAAUAGCCUUAGAAUUUUUUAAAAGUUUAUGUAAUAUUGGCACUUUCUGUAAUCUCAUUCCUACUGUGUCUUGAAUUACCUUUAACCCCUAUGACAUGUUUUCUGUAAUUCUUAUGUUACAGUUGCAUUUCUGCAGUUUCCAGACUGGUGCAGUGUCUGGGUACUCACAGCAUGUUGACUUCUACACGGAAGAAAAAUAAACUGAUUUAGAUCUUUGGGGUUUUUUUUCCCAACUCAUCCUCUUCAGUAUAUACAGUCUUUAUUUAUGAGGGAUGAAGGCAUAACACCCUUCCACUCCAGUUUUUUCAAACGUAAUUUAUACAUUUCUUUCUUGAAUAUACUGUUUUUUUGAGCUGUUCCUACCUGUGUCUUCUUCCUCCUUCAUAUGACAAAACAAAGCUUGGAUAAAUGAUGCUACAAACUGUAUUAUAUUUUAUAGUAAGCAAAGAGAAAAAUACCUGUAACACUCACCUAUUCUGAUUUUAGUUUUAGUGGUCCUUGAGUAUUACCAUUUUACAGUGGUCUGCAACAGGUAAUAUAGACUAGUUGGUAUGAAAUAAAGCAAAUUUGCAGCACCAAGUUGCAUAUGGUAGGAUUCAGAUAAAGAUGUGGUUUAACUCUGAUGUCACAUGGAGAAUUGGAUGUCUUUAUAAAUGAAGUAUUUCCAAGGUACAGUUACCUUGCAAUAAUUAAAAAUUGUCCACAAAAUCUAAGCUAACCAAUGUCCCUAACUGAUGCUUAAUUAAAAAAAAAAUUUGAGAAGUACUUUUUAACAUCC